rnacentral:sRNA from 1 species
GGUUGAUCAUGUGAACGUGUGAAUCUAUUCCACCAGCAGUGAUUAUAAAUCCUUCUCCAGCUAAAGCUUCUGUAGCAACACCAACGAUGAAAUCUACAUCAUCCAUAAGAUCUGGAUUUCCACCUUUACCAAUAGCAAGGAUUUUUCCAUCUCUAAUACCGAUAUCAGCUUUAUAAACUCCUGUAUAAUCUAUAAUUGUAGCUCCUGAUAUUAUUAAGUCAGCUACUAA